UACGAACGCUGGCGGCGUGCUUAACACAUGCAAGUCGAACGAAAAGUCCCUGCUUUUGUGGGGUUCUCGGGUGGCGAACGGGUGAGUAACCCGUUGGUAACCUACCCCUGCCUUUAGGGUAACUUAAUGAAACUUGGGCUAAUACCUGCUAGGAUCUCUUGCUGCAUGGUGGGCGUUCGUAAGUUUCGGCGGUUGGUGAUGUACUGGCGGCUUAUCGGCUUGUUGGUUGGGUGGUGGCUUAGCAAGACUUUCACGGGUAGCCGGCCUGAAAGGCGGACCGGCCACAUUGGGAUUGAGAUAAGGCACAGCCUACAAUGGGAGGCAGGAGUGGAGAAUAUUGCACAAUGGGAGGAAGGCUGAUGUAGAAACGCAGUGUGCGGUAUGACGGGCUUCGCGUUGUAAACCAAUUUGGCCUUUCACGAGGCGUUAGUGACGGUACUGGGUAAAGAAGCACCGGCUAACUACGUG
rnacentral:rRNA from 1 species